GAACCAAUCCUGCAAAGCCCACAUCACCCAAAUCCCGCAGCCUCAUCUGAUCUCAGGGUGCUGGAAGUUCUUUAUAGAGAGAGAGCGGUCGCUCGCACUGGACAAUGACAUUGGAACUCCCUUGAGGCAGCGGAGGAAAGCCGGGCUCCAUCCAGCAGCUUUGGGAGAGCUUGUCAGAACGUGACACCUAGUGGUUGUGAGCCACAGCAACACUCAGACCUCAAACUGCCUUGUUCAGCUCCUAUGAGCAUCCGUAUUGAGGAAGAAAGCAUCAAUUUCUACUAGUUUUCAAAGGAACGGGACCAUCUUUCCCUUCCUGCACCCAGCCCGUCCAAAAAGCAACUUCUAAGCAGAACGACCACUAAGAAUUUGCAGACCUCAAGCUCAGUUUUGACACCGCUGCCAUUUGGAAACCCUGGGCUCAAAAAGCAGCUGAGCACAGCACCACUGCCCCACCUGAAGUCACCCGCAUAGAUGGCUGUAUUGCAAACUAACCUGAGUUCAUCCUGCAGCUGUUUCUCCAUUUGGGCUGGGAAAAUACCCGCUCUGCAGUUGCAGUGUUCAGGUGUGUUCAUAGGGUGUCUUCUGCCCUCCAAGCACUUCACAGGUGGUUACGUGUGAUUAUCAGCUCUGAUCACCAACUCUUCAGGCCUCCGAGUUGUUCUGCAGCACCUCUGAAGGCAGUUUGAUUACACAGCCACUUCUCCACACGUUCAGACACUUCAGUUUUGUCACAUAAAAAGAAACACCACACAAGACAGUAAUUACCAAUAUCACAAGUAAAUUGGCCAUUUGUUAGAAUUAAUGCAUGUCUUGCAGCUGCCUUGAUCAAAAUAAGAGCCCACUGGAAUCAAAUAAACCAUUUCUUCAGCAAACAGCUCAGCUAUACUAUAUAUUAUACACACACACAAUUUAUCUAUAUGCACAAACACAAUAAGACCUCCUAAGCUUCUUUGUUGGGCAAAGUGGAAUGGGUGGUAGCUUCUGGAAUCCUUAAACAGCAACAGUAGAGCUGGAACUGGUAUUAUUCUCAACCUUUCUUCCCACUGAAAUGGCUUACCUUUCUGAAAAGCCCCCAAAGAGUGGUAAUUAUGGUCUGCAACCAUUCAUUGGGCUCAAAUCCCUUACCAGAAAUAGUCUCCUACUGUUCCACCAAAAGAAGCAUGAAUAACCUCAGCUUAGCACAACAUAUCUAUAUGAUACCCAGGCCCUAAACCUGGCUACUAUGGGUCAACUAGAUGAAUUUGUGUUUAGUUAUUAGCCAACUGUUAUUGGUAAAAGCAAUUUAUUUCAAUUAAAGCUUUUUUCUCUAAUUAUUCAAUAAGAUUCAUACCACCUUAACAGCAGAAGCACUGCAAAAAUCACUACAUGUGAAACUCCUUGAGAGCUGCACCACACAUCAAAUCAUUGUUUUAUCAACAUGAAUUACCCAACGGAAAAAGGAACUCAGCUGACAGUUUUUAGGUUGAGUUUAACACUAAGCAUGAAACAAGGCAGCUUGGAACUUCAAACCUGGAAUCUCCUUGUAGGCAGUAUGCUGCUUCUAUCCCAAUGGAGCAGAUAACUGGACAUCCAUCAGUUCAGCUGCAACACAGAGGUCAUUGUCCUUUCAUUCCAAUUACAAUACAGCCCAGCAGAGCCUUUCACAGACUGAAGCAUCAAAGGCUGUCUGACAUCUGAUCAUAUUCCACUCAUAAUGAAGUGGGUCGUUCUGAAGGAUGAAUUAUUUUCUUGACAGAGAAUCUCCUCUAACUUGAAGAGCUUAACUGCACAAUGAAAUACAGACACGGGUUGCUGUGCUUUUUUAUUGCAUGGUUGCACACUAGUUUAACAGCUAGAAAAAUACAGUAGCUAGAAGUUUCUUUACAUCAAAAUGAAAGGUCUGUAUGCUACGAGUACAAAAGGCACUUCAAUAUGUAUGUUGUACAAAGGCAAUCAUUUCAGUAAAUUACCAUUAGGCACAACAUAUAUUACAAUAUGCACUUGAGAACUUCUACUCUCACUUCUUUAAGCUGUCCUCAGAAUGAGUUCCACUACAACAUUUCAUUCAUAGUGCUGACUGCCACAGGAAUGUCUCUCAGAACAGUAUUAAUUAACAGAAGCAAUUAGGUUCAAGGACAAACAUCUGUUCUGACCCUUCUCUACUGUAUUGUCCAAAAGAGCCUAAAGAUUCCUAUGCAGACACCUUCCAAAUACAGUUUAAGUCAGUUGUGCAAAGUCGUUACAGACAUUAACUAAAUUAGCCAAGAACCCAACAAAAUACAACAAAAAAAAAACUAAAAAAAACCCCAAAAGACCCACUUUCAUUUUCAGCCUGUUAAUUUUAACCAGAGCCUGCCCUGCAACUGGAAUACUGUCCAUUGGAACCAGAGAUGCUAAGACACUGACAUGGAAAUGUAGCAGGCAUCUUGAAAGCAGCACAACUCUAACAGCAAAUCCCUGCAGAGCUUGUUUUAGCAAAAUCCAGUUCAUUUUUUCCUCUUCUGACCCUGUUUACACACGUGUAUAUAUUAUAUAUAUAAACUCAGUGCUGAAACUGAAAUAGAUUUUAUGUCAGGAUAUUUAAAUGCUGUAGAAGAUAAAACAUGAACACCAUGGUAACCCCUAAGAACAAAAUGUGUAUCUUGUAUUUGCACAUGCCAGGAAGAGACAUUAGUUGGUGAAAUAAGCUUGGUGGAUCAGAGGUACACAAAACCUUAGAGUAAGCAGGCAACUAAAAUACUCUGAGCAAUUGCAUAAGGCUUUUCUAAAGACCCAUUCGCUUAUGAUAGCAAGAAUUUGCUUGCUUUAAAGGACUUUAAUAACCACAAGAAGAUAGUUCCUAAUCAGAGCUUAUACAAUUCAGAGAUACUACAUUAACCUGCUUGUAAGGAGGUUAGUUUCCCAUUGCUCUUUUCAGCUGUAAUUCAAACUGACCCAAAUUAAGCCAAGUUGUUCCCUCUGUAAUUCUAACAAUUUUCCUCCAUCAGUAAAGCAAACAAUUGGCUUCUCCCUGAUCUCACAGAGCCUAUUUCAGUUCUUUUUGCCAUAUCCAUUUCCACAUUUAUAAGGCAGCAGUUCUAAUUAUGGUUGAUGCAGGCUGCCUCUAUCUAGCUUAGUUCCACUGAGUCACCUCCAUUGUUAAAUGCAAAGACAACAUUACAAUGACUGUAUUACAGGAUUUUUCCUAAUUGCUAAUAAUGAAAGCAAGUUCAACAAUGAACUCAGGUACAAAGUAAAAUAAAUCUCUUCCUAUUGCCAGACUUGCAAAGUCCCUUUCAAAGUUAUUUUCAGAACCUGCCAUCCUCUGGCAAAACCAUUACAGCCACAACAGAAGUGGCUCAGCAGAGUAGAAACGUAAUAAAAUCUGGCAAAGUCAUGCAUGGUAUAAUUCAACUGAGCUAUAAGGGCUCAAGACUGAAGAUACAUACUGCCACUCAGAACAUAUUAUAAAGAUGUAUAUACAUCACACAAGGAGCAGAAGCCAAUGGAGAUUUUCUUAGAUCUACUGAGUAGUCACCCUAAAAUUAAGCAGCCACAUUAGCAGAGAAAGGCACAACUGCUGAAAUGUAACAGAAGUCUGAGGUAGAGAUAUUGAGGAAGCAAAGGCACAAGUUUUAAUUGGUUAAGCAAAAAUAUUCAAAAGCUUUAAAAUCAUUAGAGUCACGCUGAAAAGUGUUAAAGUGCUUUUAAAGUGAACAUUUGGAAUGGGAAAGUAUUGAUUCCAAAAGAUGUGAAUUUGUCACUGACAAGUUGGUCUCCUGGCUUCAUUAGUCCUGAAUGACACCAGCAACUGCUGACUGCUUAAUGGCAGGAGAGGAUCAAGAAAUGCAUCCUCUAAAAAUAUACAUGAAAUACAAUCAAGAUUGGGCAGCCUGGUCUAGUAUUAGAUAUGGAGGUUGGCAGCCCUGCAUGCAGCAGGGGGGUUGGAGCUUCGUGAUCCUUGAGGUCCCUUCCAACCCAAGCCAUUCUAUGAAGAUUGUUUCGUGAGUACACAACCAGUGUACUAUACUCACUAUAGUUUGUGCAUAUGCACACUGUUAAGUACAACACAGCAUAAAAAGUCAUUCAGAAAGGUGCACUAGAGAAAGUUAUGGCUAAUAGCAUAGUUCAGAGGUAGGCAUUGUUUGUGGCAACUGGGCCAUAACUUCAGUAAAAGGCUCCACAGCUGGUAACUUAAAACAAUUUAGUCUGGUCCACAACUGAGUUCCAACCACCACUGGUCUUUGUUACCAUAAGGUGCUAUAUAGAACAACACGGUCCCAGUAACCAUGAGGGUGGGUAACUCUCAAGAAUAGAAGUUCAGCUUAAGACAAAACAUUGGGAAGAUUGCACUGGUGCUCUAGAAGUUGCUGGAAAAAAAAAAA